AGAGUUUGAUCCUGGCUCAGAACGAACGCUGGCGGCAGGCUUAACACAUGCAAGUCGAACGAGUAAGAGCCGUAGCAAUACGGAGUUCUGCUAGUGGCGCACGGGUGAGUAACGCGUGGGAAUAUGCCCUUUAGUACGGAAUAACAGUUGGAAACGACUGCUAAUACCGUAUACGCCCUUCGGGGGGAAGAUUUAUCGCUAAAGGAUUAGCCCGCGUGAGAUUAGGUAGUUGGUGGGGUAAUGGCCUACCAAGCCUACGAUCUCUAGCCGGUCUGAGAGGACGAUCGGCCACACUGGAACUGAGACACGGUCCAGACUCCUACGGGAGGCAGCAGUGGGGAAUAUUGGACAAUGGGCGAAAGCCUGAUCCAGCCAUGCCGCGUGAGUGAUGAAGGCCUUAGGGUUGUAAAGCUCUUUUGUCAGGGAAGAUAUUGACGGUACCUGAAGAAUAAGCACCGGCUAACUUCGUGCCAGCAGCCGCGGUAAUACGAAGGGUGCUAGCGUUGUUCGGAAUUACUGGGCGUAAAGCGCGCGCAGGCGGUCUAUCAAGUCAGAGGUGAAAUGCCGAAGCUCAACUUCGGAACUGCCUUUGAAACUGUUAGACUAGAAUAUGGGAGGGGAUAGCGGAAUUCCUAAUGUAGAGGUGAAAUUCGUAGAUAUUAGGAGGAACACCGGUGGCGAAGGCGGCUAUCUGGCCCAUUAUUGACGCUGAGGCGCGAAAGCGUGGGGAUCAAACAGGAUUAGAUACCCUGGUAGUCCACGCUGUAAACGAUGAGUGCUAGCUGUUGGGACCUUAGGUCUCAGUGGCGCAGCUAACGCAUUAAGCACUCCGCCUGGGGAGUACGGUCGCAAGAUUAAAACUCAAAGGAAUUGACGGGGACCCGCACAAGCGGUGGAGCAUGUGGUUUAAUUCGAGGCAACGCGAAGAACCUUACCAGGACUUGACAUGUCCAGUUUGGAUUUCAGAAAUGAUUUCCUUCAGUUUGGCUGGCUGGAACACAGGUGCUGCAUGGCUGUCGUCAGCUCGUGUCGUGAGAUGUUGGGUUAAGUCCCGCAACGAGCGCAACCCUCAUCUUUAGUUGCUACCAUUUAGUUGAGCACUCUAAAGAAACUGCCGGUGAUAAGCCGGAGGAAGGUGGGGAUGACGUCAAGUCUUCAUGGCCCUUAUGUCCUGGGCUACACACGUGCUACAAUGGCAGUGACAAUGCGCCGCUACCUCGCGAGGGGAAGCUAAUCGCAAAAAGCUGUCUCAGUUCGGAUUGUACUCUGCAACUCGAGUACAUGAAGUUGGAAUCGCUAGUAAUCGCGCAUCAGCAUGGCGCGGUGAAUACGUUCCCGGGUCUUGUACACACCGCCCGUCACACCAUGGGAGUUGGUUCUACCUUAAGCUGCUGUGCUAACCGCAAGGAGGCAGGCAACCACGGUAGGGUCAGUGACUGGGGUGAAGUCGUAACAAGGUA
rnacentral:rRNA from 1 species